CUGAGACCAAGGUGUCUUUAUUUAGACAGGAAGUCAAUGCUGAGACAAGGUUUAUUUUACAGAUGAGUCUUGUAUAGCACCACAAUACACAUCAAAAUACAGUAAACACAUUAAACUACACAUUCAUAUACACAUUAAAAUAUGCGUUAUUAUACACAAAAAAACACGUUAUUAUACACAACAAUACAAGAAAAGCAAAACCCAAUCAUAAAAAACUGACCGUCUGAAAUGCCACAGAGGGUUCCCUAACAACCGUCUGAAAUGCCACAGAGGGUUCCCUAACAACCGUCUGAAAUGCCAUAGAGGGUUCCCUAACAACUGUCUGAAAUGCCACAGAGGGUUCCCUAACAACCGUCUGAAAUGCCAUAGAGGGUUCCCUAACAACCGUCUGAAAUGCCAUAGAGGGUUCCCUAACAACCGUCUGAAAUGCCAUAGAUGUUCCCCUAACAACCGUCUGAAAUGCCAUAGAUGUUCCCCUAACAACCAUCUGAAAUGCCAUAGAGGGUUCCCUAACAACCGUCUGAAAUGCCAUAGAGGGUUCCCUAACAACCGUCUGAAAUGCCAUAGAUGUUCCCCUAACAACCAUCUGAAAUGCCAUAGAGGGUUCCCUAACAACCGUCUGAAAUGCCAUAGAGGGUCCCCUAACAACUGUCUAAAAUGCCAUAGAGGGUCCCCUAACAACCGUCUGAAAUGCCAUAGAGGGUCCCCUAACAACCGUCUGAAAUGCCAUAGAGGGUCCCCUAACAACCGUCUGAAAUGCCAUAGAGGGUUCCCUAACAACCAUCUGAAAUGCCAUAGAGGGUCCCCUAACAACCGUCUGAAAUGCCAUAGAGUAUUGCACCCCUUAAGCAAAUUAGGGUUAAGUGCCUUGCUCAUGGGCACAUCAACAGAUUUUUCAAUGUUGCAUUAAACGGUAAGGGAAUGGUGAUAUGCUAGCAACUUUUGUAGUAUAAUAUGGAUUUUUGAAAUAUUGUUUGAAUGCAAAAGCAAACAUUCUCAUUGUGGAAACAUAGAGCUCUCUACUGGAGUGAGUUAGGAGAGAAGCCCCAGUGGAGAGACGCCCCAGUGGAGAGACGCCCCAGGGGAGAGACGCCCCAGCGGAGAGACGCCCCAGCGGAGAGACGGCCCAGGGGAGAGACGGCCCAGGGGAGAGACGGCCCAGGGGAGAGAUGCACAAGUGCAGAAAGACAUGCAAUACUGUAAAUGACAUUAACACUGAUACAAAACAGAGAUGUACAUCAAAUCACAACAUUGACACAUAUAACGCUGUUGCAAUCCACAAAGUUGAACAAAGUUUUUUUUUUCAAUGAAAUACAAAACCCUUCAUGUGCUCACAUAUCAUAUAGGUACACACUGCUAUGAAGGUUACAGUAAGCACUACCAUGAAGAUACACAGGGUUACAGGUUACAGUACAAACUACUAUAAAGCUAUACAGGGUUACAGGUUACAGUACACACUACUAUGAAGCUAUACAGGGUUACAGGUUACAGUACACACUACUAUGAAGCUAUACAGGGUUACAGGUUACAGUACACACUACUAUGAAGCUAUACAGGGUUACAGGUUACAGUACACAAUACAAUGAAGCUGUACAGGGUUACAGGUUACAGUACACACUACUAUGAAGCUGUACACGGUUACAGGUUACAGUACACACUACUAUGAAGCUGUACAGGGUUACAGGUUACAGUACACAAUACUAUGAAGCUGUACAGGGUUACAGGUUACAGUACACACUACUAUGAAGCUGUGCAAGGUUACAGGUUACAAUACACACUAUGAAGCUUUACAUGGUUACAGGUUACAGGUUACAGUACACAAUACUAUGAAGCUGUGCAGGGUUACAGGUUACAGUACACAAUACUAUGAAUCUGUACAGGGUUACAGGUUACAGGUUACAGUACACAAUACUAUGAGGUUACAGUACAGAAUACUAUGAAGCUGUACAGGGUUACAGGUUACAGUACACACUACUAUGAAAACAUAUACAGGGUUACAGUGUACAGUACUGUACACACGUUGUCACUUCCAUCAGUUCCCUGAGUGGGGUGUGGAGGGAUGGGUUCAGUCUCCUAGUUAGAGUGGAUGGGUUCAGUCUCCUAGGUAGAGUGGACGGGUUCAUUCUCCUAGGUAGAGUGGAUGAUGGGUUCAGUCUCCUAGGUAGAGUGGAUGAUGGGUUCAGUCUCCUAGGUAGAGUGGAUGAUGGGUUCAGUCUCCUAGGUAGAGUGGAUGAUGGGUUCAGUCUCCUAGGUAGAGUGGAUGAUGGGUUCAGUCUCCUAGUUAGAGGAUGGGUUCAGUCUCCUAGUUAGUGGAUGGGUUCAGUCUCCUAGUUAGAGUGGAUGAUGGGUUCAGUCUCCUAGUUAGAGUGGAUGAUGGGUUCAGUCUCCUAGUUAGUGGAUGAUGGGUUCAGUCUCCUAGUUAGAGUGGAUGAUUGGUUCAGUCUCCUAGGUAGAGUGGAUGGGUUCAGUUUCCGAGUUAGAGUGGAUGGGUUCAGUCUCCUAGUUAGAGUGGAUGGGUUCAGUCUCCUAGUUAGAGGAUGGGUUCAGUCUCCUAGUUAGUGGAUGGGUUCAGUCUCCUAGUUAGUGGAUGGGUUCAGUCUCCUAGUUAGAGUGGAUGAUGGGUUCAGUCUCCUAGUUAGAGUGGAUGAUGGGUUCAGUCUCCUAGUUAGAGUGGAUGAUAGGUUCAGUCUCCUAGUUAGAGUGGAUGGGCUCAGUCUCCUAAUGUCCAGCAUUAUGGUCGUAAUGGUGUUGGUGGCUGCAUUUUCCUCAGCCAAUGUAGAGUGGAUGGGCUCAAUUUCCUGGUAGAUGGGAUCCGCCUGUUGUUGUAUAGGAUUUCCAAGUGUGGGAUGUUUCCCUUGCUGCUCCACUGUGGGGGGACUGGGAGGAGGAGAGCUGGGGGGUGGUCGACUGGGAUGGGGACCUGGAGGAGGAGAGCCUGGAGGGGUCUCCUGGGAUGGGGACUGGGAGGAGGAGAGCUAGGAGGGGGUCUACUGGGACUGGGACUGAGAUGAGAGCUAGGAGGGGGUCUACUGGGACUGGGACUGAGAUGAGAGCUAGGAGGGGGUCUACUGGUACUGGGACUGAGAUGAGAGCUAGAAGGGGGUCUGCUAGGACUGGGAGGAGGAGAGCUAGGAGGGGAUCUGCUAGGACUGGGAGGAGGAGAGCUGGGGGGGUCUGCUAGGACUGGUAGGAGGAGAGCUGGGGGGGUCUGCUAGGACUGGUAGGAGGAAAGCUAGGAGGGGGUUCUACUGGGAUGGGGACCAUCAGAGGUGGUGUGGAUGGAGUCAGCCUGGUGGUCAAUGGGGUGGUCCAGUGGUGGAUGCUGCUCCAGGGAGUAGGAGCUUGGGGUUUGACUAACAGGAGGGUGUCUUUUGGGAGGAUGAGGAGCUGGGGGUGGGACUAACAGGAGGGGGUCUUCUGGUUCUGGAAGGAGGACCUGUGGUUGGGACUAACAGGAGGGGGGUCUUCUGGGUCUGAGGCUGGAAGGAGGAGGUCUCCUCAGAACCAUUAUCUGAGCACUGGGUCCCAGGAGGAGGAGGUCUCCUCAGAACCACUAUCUGAGCACUGGGUCCCAGGAGGAGGAGGUCUCCUCAGAACCACUAUCUGAGCACUUGGUCCGAGGAGGAGUAGGGUGCUCAACUCAUGUUCACUGUGGUCCACCACUGGUACCCCGUUUACCUCCACCAAUCUAAAGGAGAUGCACACAUGCAGGUUAGGCCUUAUACACAGAUGGUACACAAACACUCCUUCUGCAUCCAGUUUAUUUCAGUAUUGCAAUUUACUUUCUGAUAUGACAACAUGUAACCACGAGCACCUGGCUCACCUUCACUGUUGGCAGCAGUGCCUAAACAUUGUAAUUUUAGUCAUGGUCGAGAAAGUUUUUUAGUUAUGGUUGGGACAUGUUUUUUAGUUAUGGUCGAGACAUGUUUUUAGUCAUGGUUGGGACAGGUUUUUAGUCAUGGUUGGGACAGGUUUUUAGUCAUGACAGGUUUUUAGUCAUGGUUGGGAUAGGUUUUUAGUCAUGACAGGUUUUUAGUCAUGGUCGGGACGGGUUUUUAGUAAUGGUAUGGACAGGUUUUUAGUCAUUGUCUUGACAUGUUAUUAGUCAUGGUCAGGACUGGUUUUUAGUCAUGGCAGGGACAGGUUUUUAGUCGGGACAUGUUUUUAGUCAUAGUCAGGACAGGUUU
rnacentral:lncRNA from 1 species